UCUCCAGUUUCCCAUCGCGGUCAGCAUCUCCCCAGCCCCGGCGGCCGCCCCUUCCGGCGUGGGCGUCCACAUCCCCUUCCUCUUCCUAUUUCUUUGUUGUCGUGGCCUUCCCUUCCGAUGAUGCGGGCUUCUCUUCUCGGCCGAUGCGGUCGUCAGGCUGCGAGGUUAUGAGGAACGUCUUGGCAGUGGUCGCGCCUUCCCCGCGUCCUGGCCGGCGUCUGUAUUGGUGGAGGCGCUUCCGUCGUCUCCCCUCCAUCGUGGCGUCUCAGCCCCAGCAACGGCAGCUUCCUUCGCGCGGGCCGCAGGGUUCUGGGCGCUUCUUCUCUAGCAGCCUUAUCCCGACGGCGGUGGUCAUGGCAUGCUCGCACUCCAGGGCACGCGUGCCGGUCUGGAUCUUCCUCCCCUGCUGCGGCGCCACGGGGAGACGAAGUCCUCCAUCGGUGUACAGGUUCUGUUUUUUCCCAAAUUGAUGUCUGCUAGGUUAUUUAGCCGAUGAAAGGAAACAAAUUAGAUUUCAUUCUGCGUGAUUGCUGCAGAAGACAUGUCAAUUUCCAUUCUAGCCAUCAUUUUCAGGGAUGGGUGCAGGUUAUCAACACCCCACCAUCUGUAGUUUGGAGAAAGCUGAAUUUAUUGAAAUUGCUCGGGAAUGGCCAUAUCAUUUACUUUGUUUUCCUUAUCAGUUAUCACAUAUUGAACAGAGUUGCAUGGAUAAGCAUGAGAUAUGCCCUGCAGUUGAAAGCCUGAGGUUGAGCUCAUAUUACCAACUGAUCUUCUUCACCUUGCAGUUGUA